rnacentral:rRNA from 1 species
UACGAAGGGGGCUAGCGUUGCUCGGAAUCACUGGGCGUAAAGCGCACGUAGGCGGCUCUUUAAGUCAGGGGUGAAAUCCCAAGGCUCAACCUUGGAACUGCCUUUGAUACUGAGGAUCUCGAGUCCGGAAGAGGUUGGUGGAACUGCGAGUGUAGAGGUGAAAUUCGUAGAUAUUCGCAAGAACACCAGUGGCGAAGGCGGCCAACUGGUCCGGUACUGACGCUGAGGUGCGAAAGCGUGGGGAGCAAACAGG